CCCUACAAAGCUUAUAGCAACCUUAGUUUGUUUCGUUAUUCCAAUUUAUUUGGGAAUUCGGCCGUACCGAACCAAACCACCCUUAUCAUGGCUAAAUCGCCAAAUUGCUUUGAAGUUUUGGCCCAUUGAAACAACUACAAAUGCACAAGCUCCCUUAGCACCACCCAGUUCCACCCACUCUUUCACACUACCAAAGCAAUUUGUGUAUUUGGACAAAGGAAAUCGUCAGGACGAGCCCAGAAAAGACAAUAAAUACAAUCUGGCCCCAAGCACACGCAAAAUUUCAUUAUGGCAUGCCAAUCAGGAGGUCACAGGCCACAGCCGCCGGAGUUGGUGUAUGUAAAUUGGCCAAACACGGCAUGUAUUACCAGAGGACAUCCCGCCCUCACAAUCGCAGGAUGUCCCUACAAAUGUCGAGUCCACAGUUAUUGACAUCCAAUAAGUGGGAUCUCAAAAUGCCCUCGUGCACAAAAAAAAAGGAUGCUGUCCAUCCGCUGGCCAAGCAGCCGAUCGACCUAUCGCCCCCUCUAAAUCACAACUGAAGGGAGCAUCAGAAAAUUCCGGCCCAGUACCGACGUCGCAAAAUUUCCGAACUGCGGGACCAAGCAAAUGGGGCAUUAUUCGGUCCUGCACUGUGGGGGUCAAAGGGCAUUUGAUUUAUGCCAACGUAACUGAGUUCACCGCAGCCUGCUGCCGUCAAAGGUAAAUGCGACUACCAACGGCGAUUGCCGCAAAUGCGGCGUUGAUUCGCAAGGCAACUAGGCUCCGAUUUGGAACAGCGAUGGCGAUGUCCAUCGCACAAUUAGCUAAUUUCACUCUACCCGCCGUCCAGCAAAUGAGUCUGUCCUUUUUGGGUUGAUCAGGAUGCCAAUGGUAAGGGUCGGUUGAGUUGAGAGUUUACGACCAUCGAAAGACAGCAAGCCAUUAAGGUAGUUGUGGCACGUUAAGUAGAACAAACUCAUAUCCCAAUAAUAAAGCCUACUACGGAAAUGUUAUAAAAC
ensembl:ncRNA lncRNA:CR44131 long non-coding RNA:CR44131